UUAUACAGUGAAACUGCGAAUGGCUCAUUAAAUCAGUUAUCGUUUAUUUGAUAGUACCUUACUACUUGGAUAACCGUGGUAAUUCUAGAGCUAAUACAUGCUUAAAAUCCCGACUGUUUGGAAGGGAUGUAUUUAUUAGAUAAAAAAUCAAUGUCUUCGGACUCUUUGAUGAUUCAUAAUAACUUUUCGAAUCGCAUGGCCUUGUGCUGGCGAUGGUUCAUUCAAAUUUCUGCCCUAUCAACUUUCGAUGGUAGGAUAGUGGCCUACCAUGGUUUCAACGGGUAACGGGGAAUAAGGGUUCGAUUCCGGAGAGGGAGCCUGAGAAACGGCUACCACAUCCAAGGAAGGCAGCAGGCGCGCAAAUUACCCAAUCCCGACACGGGGAGGUAGUGACAAUAAAUAACGAUACAGGGCCCUUUCGGGUCUUGUAAUUGGAAUGAGUACAAUGUAAAUACCUUAACGAGGAACAAUUGGAGGGCAAGUCUGGUGCCAGCAGCCGCGGUAAUUCCAGCUCCAAAAGCGUAUAUUAAAGUUGUUGCAGUUAAAAAGCUCGUAGUUGAACCUUGGGCUUGGUUGGCCGGUCCAUCUUUCUGAUGCGUACUGGACCCAACCGAGCCUUUCCUUCUGGCUAGCCUUUUGUGGCGAACCAGGACUUUUACUUUGAAAAAAUUAGAGUGUUCAAAGCAGGCCUUUGCUCGAAUAUAUUAGCAUGGAAUAAUAGAAUAGGACGUUAUGGUUCUAUUUUGUUGGUUUCUAGGACCAUCGUAAUGAUUAAUAGGGACGGUCGGGGGUAUCAGUAUUCAGUUGUCAGAGGUGAAAUUCUUGGAUUUACUGAAGACUAACUACUGCGAAAGCAUUUACCAAGGACGUUUUCAUUAAUCAAGAACGAAAGUUAGGGGAUCGAAGAUGAUCAGAUACCGUCGUAGUCUUAACCAUAAACUAUGCCGACUAGGGAUCGGUUGUUGUUCUUUUUUAUUGACGCACUCGGCAC
rnacentral:rRNA from 1 species